GACAGAGGCCUCAAGCGUUAGGCGGAAUCACUGGGCUUAAAGCGUGUGUAGGCGGACUUCUAAGUGCCUUGUGAAAUCCCACGGCUCAACCGUGGAACUGCUGGGCAUACUGGGAGUCUUGGGCCAUUCAGGGGCAACUGGAACAAGCGGUGGAGCGGUGAAAUGCGUAGAUAUCGGGAGGAACACCUGUGGCGAAAGCGGCUCACUGGACCACAACUGACGCUGAUGCACGAAAGCUAGGGGAGCGAACGGG
rnacentral:rRNA from 1 species